ACGGCCGCAAGGUUAAAACUCAAAUGAAUUGACGGGGGCCCGCACAAGCGGUGGAGCAUGUGGUUUAAUUCGAUGCAACGCGAAGAACCUUACCUGGUCUUGACAUCCACGGAAGUUUUCAGAGAUGAGAAUGUGCCUUCGGGAACCGUGAGACAGGUGCUGCAUGGCUGUCGUCAGCUCGUGUUGUGAAAUGUUGGGUUAAGUCCCGCAACGAGCGCAACCCUUAUCCUUUGUUGCCAGCGGUCCGGCCGGGAACUCAAAGGAGACUGCCAGUGAUAAACUGGAGGAAGGUGGGGAUGACGUCAAGUCAUCAUGGCCCUUACGACCAGGGCUACACACGUGCUACAAUGGCGCAUACAAAGAGAAGCGACCUCGCGAGAGCAAGCGGACCUCAUAAAGUGCGUCGUAGUCCGGAUUGGAGUCUGCAACUCGACUCCAUGAAGUCGGAAUCGCUAGUAAUCGUGGAUCAGAAUGCCACGGUGAAUACGUUCCCGGGCCUUGUACACACCGCCCGUCACACCAUGGGAGUGGGUUGCAAAAGAAGUAGGUAGCUUAACCUUCGGGAGGG
rnacentral:rRNA from 1 species